rnacentral:rRNA from 1 species
GCCUACGACCAUAUCACCCUGAAUACGCCCGAUCUCGUCCGAUCUCGGAAGCUAAGCAGGGUCGAGCCUGGUUAAUACUUGGAUGGGAGACCGCCUGGGAAUACCAGGUGUUGUAGGCU